rnacentral:rRNA from 1 species
UACGGAGGAUGCGAGCGUUAUCCGGAUUUAUUGGGUUUAAAGGGUGCGCAGGCGGCCUGUUAAGUCAGCGGUAAAAGCCCGGGGCUCAACCCCGGCGAGCCGUUGAAACUGGCGGGCUGGAGUUGGAGAGAAGUACGCGGAAUGCGUGGUGUAGCGGUGAAAUGCAUAGAUAUCACGCAGAACCCCGAUUGCGAAGGCAGCGUACCGGCCGGUCACUGACGCUGAGGCACGAAAGCGCGGGUAUCGAACAGG